UACGUAGGGUCCGAGCGUUGUCCGGAAUUAUUGGGCGUAAAGGGCUCGUAGGCGGUUUGUCGCGUCGGGAGUGAAAACACGGGGCUUAACCCCGUGCCUGCUUCCGAUACGGGCAGACUGGAGGUAUGCAGGGGAGAACGGAAUUCCUGGUGUAGCGGUGAAAUGCGCAGAUAUCAGGAGGAACACCGGUGGCGAAGGCGGUUCUCUGGGCAUGUCCUGACGCUGAGGAGCGAAAGUGUGGGGAGCGAACAGG
rnacentral:rRNA from 1 species